rnacentral:rRNA from 1 species
GACGAACGCUGGCGGCGUGCUUAACACAUGCAAGUCGAACGGAAAGGCCCUGCUUUUGUGGGGUGCUCGAGUGGCGAACGGGUGAGUAACACGUGAGUAACCUGCCCUUGACUUUGGGAUAACUUCAGGAAACUGGGGCUAAUACCGGAUAGGAGCUCCUGCUGCAUGGUGGGGGUUGGAAAGUUUCGGCGGUUGGGGAUGGACUCGCGGCUUAUCAGCUUGUUGGUGGGGUAGUGGCUUACCAAGGCUUUGACGGGUAGCCGGCCUGAGAGGGUGACCGGCGACAUUGGGACUGAGAUACGGCCCAGACUCCUACGGGAGGCAGCAGUGGGGAAUAUUGCACAAUGGGCGGAAGCCUGAUGCAGCAACGCCGCGUGCGGGAUGACGGCCUUCGGGUUGUAAACCGCUUUCGCCUGUGACGAAGCGUGAGUGACGGUAAUGGGUAAAGAAGCGCCGGCUAACUACGUG